GCCACGUGUCUGGUUUUUGCAUAGUUUUUUCACUUAUUUUUUUCAAUCAAGAUAUGGAUGAUGCAGAUGGAGGAGAAGUAUAACCAGUGCCUGGACGAGAUCCAGAGCACCACGACGACCAACUUCAACAGCCUCGGCGGUCAUGAAAUUAAGUACAAACCGGGCACGUGGCUAGACAAACCGCUUCGGAUAGGUUUAAGGACUAAAAGUGUCCGGUUUUGAAAGUUGAGGGACGAAAAAGGUACGAAAGUAUUUUGAGGGACAAAAGUAAACUUUCUGCCAAGC
rnacentral:lncRNA from 1 species